rnacentral:rRNA from 1 species
GGCAGCAGUAGGGAAUCUUCCGCAAUGGGCGAAAGCCUGACGGAGCAACGCCGCGUGAGUGAUGAAGGUCUUCGGAUCGUAAAACUCUGUUGUUAGGGAAGAACAAAUUUGUUAGUAACUGAACAAGUCUUGACGGUACCUAACCAGAAAGCCACGGCUAACUACGUGCCAGCAGCCGCGGUAAUACGUAGGUGGCAAGCGUUAUCCGGAAUUAUUGGACGUAAAGCGCGCGUAGGCGGUUUCUUAAGUCUGAUGUGAAAGCCCACGGCUCAACCGUGGAGGGUCAUUGGAAACUGGGAAACUUGAGUGCAGAAGAGGAGAGUGGAAUUCCAUGUGUAGCGGUGAAAUGCGCAGAGAUAUGGAGGAACACCAGUGGCGAAGGCGGCUCUCUGGUCUGUAACUGACGCUGAUGUGCGAAAGCGUGGGGAUCAAACAGGAUUAGAUACCCUGGUAGUCCACGCCGUAAACGAUGAGUGCUAAGUGUUAGGGGGUUUCCGCCCCUUAGUGCUGCAGCUAACGCAUUAAGCACUCCGCCUGGGGAGUACGACCGCAAGGUUGAAACUCAAAGGAAUUGACGGGGACCCGCACAAGCGGUGGAGCAUGUGGUUUAAUUCGAUGCAACGCGAAGAACCUUACC